rnacentral:rRNA from 1 species
UACGUAGGGUGCAAGCGUUGUCCGGAAUUAUUGGGGCGUAAAGAGCUCGUAGGCGGUCUGUUACGUCGGCUGUGAAAACCUGGGGCGUCAACUCCGGGCCUGGCAGCCGAUACGGGCAGACUAGAGUUCGGCAGGGGAGACUGGAAGUUCCUGGUGUAGCGGUGGAAAUGCGCAGAUAAUCAGGAGGACACCGGUGGCGAAGGCGGGUCUCGUGGGCCGAAACUGGACGCUGGACGGAAGCGAAAGCGUGGGG